rnacentral:rRNA from 1 species
UACGUAGGCAGCGAGCGUUGUUCGGAGUUACUGGGCGUAAAGGGUGUGUAGGCGGUUUCUAAGUUUGGUGUGAAAUCUCCCGGCUCAACCGGGAGGGUGCGCCGAAAACUGGGAGACUAGAGUGCGGGAUGGGAGAGUAGAAUUCCUGGUGUAGCGGUGAAAUGCGUAGAUAUCAGGAGGAAUACCGGUGGUGUAGACGGCUCUCUGGACCGCCACUGACGCUGAGACACGAAGCGUGGGUAGCAAACAGG